rnacentral:tRNA from 3 species
GUCCUCAUAGUUCAAAGGAUAGAACAUAGGCCUCCGAAGCUUAAGAUCCAUGUUCAAUUCAUGGUGAGGGCA